rnacentral:rRNA from 1 species
UACGGGGGGGCAAGCGUUGUCCGGAAUUAUUGGGCGUAAAGAGCUCGUAGGUGGUUUGUUACGUCCGCUGUGAAAUCCUAGGGCUUAACCCUGGGCUUGCAGUGGAUACGGGCAGACUAGAGGUAGGUAGGGGAGAAUGGAAUUCCUGGUGUAGCGGUGAAAUGCGCAGAUAUCAGGAGGAACACCGGUGGCGAAGGCGGCCUGCUGGGCAGUAGCCGAAAGGCUUGAAAGCUGACGCUGAGGCGCGACAGCGUGGGGAGCAAACAGG